AUUUUUUUCACAGGUUUGGACUCAAGCAAAACAGCACUUUUUCUCUAAAUAGUGUACAUUCAAUAUUUUGUAAUCCCUUCGUUUUAUUGUCUUUGCCAGGGAUUGCAAAUUUUCAUGGACUCCUAUCAUCAGUAGCAGCUACAAAAUUUAACUGGUCACCUACUACAUGCAAGACGCUAUGAGGAGAAUUCAGUAGCAUAAAAAUAUGUAGACAAUUUUACUCUCAGCUUAAAACCAAGCUGGAGAAUGAACAUCUCUGUGGUGCACUAAGCCUGAGAAUUUUCCUACAAGCAGAACAUCAGGACUCUGGUCAUGUUCUAAAUGCUUCCCUCAUAAGAAUAACUGAACCCCUUGAUUGUCAGCCACACCCUUCGUU
rnacentral:lncRNA from 12 species